rfam:TPA: Bos taurus chromosome 3, whole genome shotgun sequence.
UCCCUUGUAGCUCAAUCAGUAAAGAAUCUGUCUGCAAUACAGGAGACCUGGGUUUGAUUCCUGGGUUAGGGAA